rnacentral:sRNA from 1 species
AAAGAGAAGAAGAAAC